rnacentral:misc_RNA from 1 species
ACGAGUUAGGGUCCUCUAGGCCCGACCUCCCAACCCUUUGCUUACCGAACCUCUGUUGCUUCGGCGGGCCCGUCUCACGACCGCCGGAGGACCGCCGCAGGGCGUGUCCUCUAGCCCGUGUCCGCCGAUAGCCAACUACAAAACUCUGUAUAAAUCAUGUCUCAUGUCUAAGUCAAAUUGAGUUAAAAGCA